CCUACGGGUGACAGCAGUGGGGAAUAUUGCACAAUGGGGGAAACCCUGAUGCAGCGACGCCGCGUGAGUGAAGAAGUAAUUCGUUAUGUAAAGCUCUAUCAGCAGGGAAGAAAAUGACGGUACCUGAGUAAGAUGCCCCGGCUAACUACGUGCCAGCAGCCGCGGUAAUACGUAGGGGGCGAGCGUUAUCCGGAUUUACUGGGUGUGAAGGGAGCGUAGACGGCAUGUCAGGCCAGAAGUGAAAGGCGGGGGCUCGACCGUCGGAUUGCUCUGGCAACUGUACGGCUGGAGUGCAGGGAGGGUAUGUGGAAUUCGUGGUGUAGCGGGGAAAUGCUUAGAUAUCACGAAGAACUCCGAUGGCGAAGGCAGCAUAC
rnacentral:rRNA from 1 species